UUGCUGGCGACCGGCGCACGGUGAGUAACACGUAUCCAACCUGCCGAUAACUCGGGGAUAGCCUUUCGAAAGAAAGAUUAAUACCCGAUGGCAUAAUUAGACCGCAUGGUUUGAUUAUUAAAGAAUUUCGGUUAUCGAUGGGGAUGCGUUCCAUUAGGCAGUUGGUGAGGUAACGGCUCACCAAACCUUCGAUGGAUAGGGGUUCUGAGAGGAAGGUCCCCCACAUUGGAACUGAGACACGGUCCAA
rnacentral:rRNA from 1 species